rnacentral:lncRNA from 1 species
AAAUUAAAAAUCCUAAAGACUCUUCCAAUUGGAGAGAUAGGCUUGAUACUAGAGAAGACAUGGAGCAUAAUAUUUUUUGGAAACUUGGUGAGGAAAAUAUUUUAUUCUGGUGGGAUCAAUGGUUGAUCAAUGGCCCUCUUUAUUUGCAACAUGAACAAGCACCCAAACCUGGCAGCACCUUGGUGAAGCAGUACUUCCAACACAACAAUUGGAAUCAAGAAGCACUAGAGGCGGUGCUGCCAAGACAUGCGGUAGAUGAGAUCAUUGACAUCAAAAUAGAAGAAGGACGCAAAGACACACCUUUUUGGAAACUUGAAUCCAGUGGAAAAUUCUCCUGCGCAUCAGCCUUUCAAGCCAUCAGAAAAAAAAAAAAACUCAUCUUCCUCAACUAGAAC